rnacentral:rRNA from 1 species
CAGUCGCCACGGGAAUACAGAGGGUGCGAGCGUUAAUCGGAUUUGCUGGGCGUAAAGCGUGCGUAGGCGGCUUUUUAAGUCGGAUGUGAAAUCCCUGAGCUUAACUUAGGAAUUGCAUUCGAUACUGGGAAGCUAGAGUAUGGGAGAGGAUGGUAGAAUUCCAGGUGUAGCGGUGAAAUGCGUAGAGAUCUGGAGGAAUACCGAUGGCGAAGGCAGCCAUCUGGCCUAAUACUGACGCUGAGGUACGAAAGCAUGGGGAGCAAACAGGAUUAGAUACCCGCGUAGUCCCUGUCUCUUAUAC